rnacentral:rRNA from 1 species
UACAGAGGGUGCAAGCGUUGUUCGGAAUUACUGGGCGUAAAGCGCGUGUAGGCGGUCUGCCAAGUCUGAUGUGAAAGCCCUGGGCUCAACCCAGGAAGUGCGUCAGAUACUGGUGGACUGGAGUGGCGGAGAGGAUGGCGGAAUUCCCGGUGUAGAGGUGAAAUUCGUAGAUAUUCGCAAGAACACCAGUGGCGAAGGCGGCUCACUGGCCCGGUACUGACGCUGAGGUGCGAAAGCGUGGGGAGCAAACAGG